rnacentral:lncRNA from 1 species
UUCUCUCUUCUUGUUUCCGUGCAGAUUUGGAGGUCAGACACAGUCGACUACAGAGUCGAUAUGAAACACUGAAUAAAAAACAAACACAGACACAAGAUGAGGUCAAAAAGCUGAAGGUGAAAAUCGAAGGGAAAUGUCCUGAAGGAUGGACGAGAUUCAGAUGCAGCUGUUACUUUAAAUCCACCGAGAAGAAAGGUUGGUUUGACAGCAGGACAGACUGUGAGAACAGAGGAUCAGAUCUGGUGAUGAUCAACAGCAAAGAGGAACAGGAAUUUGUCACCCAGCUGAACGCGAAUGAAGAGUCCUGGAUUGGUCUAAAGACGAACUGGACAUCAGCAGGAUUCGUGUGGGAGUGGGUGGAUGGAUCAACACUGACAGAAACGGUCUGGGCAGUACCAGAGUUUAAAGAUCCUACAGAGUGGUCCAACGCAGCCUGUUGUGAUCAACAAGGAAGAUGGACACAAAGCAGAGAUUAUGGUCACGAUCGGAAGACCUGGAUCUGUGAGAACUAGUUUCCAGCUUCUCCUGAUGACAGAGAGGUGUUUGUAGUGUUGGAUGAAGCUGUUGUUAAACUCUCACAUGUUCGAUCCUCUUGAUGACACAGAUAUCGUCCCUCUGUUCUUUGCUUUUAAGCUUUUUCAUUUUGUUCAUGCAUUUUUUAAAUGUGCAUGUUAUUAAUAAAUUAUAGUUAAUCCGAUUAUAUAUCAUAUACAUAAAUAUACAAAACAUUAAAGCCUGAUCGUUUUAAUGUUGUGGUGGGUGGAGUCAACAUGGCCACUAUGUUCAUUAAAUAGCUUUGAGACACAGUGUGUUCAGACAUAGUGCUUUAAAACCACACGUUCUAUAGUGACCUUUAAUAUCUGCUUUGUUCAUUUCUAUAUAAAUAAUAUUUUGAAAUAACGCCAAUUCAUUUCAGAUCUGUAUUAAACUGAUCAAAAGGAUAC